UACGGGGGGAGCAAGCGUUGUUCGGAUUUACCGGGCGUAAAGGGCGCGUAGGCGGCUUGGUCAGUCCCGUGUGAAAUCCCUCGGCUCAACUGAGGAACUGCACGGGAAACUGCCUGGCUUGAGUUCGGGAGAGGGAAGCGGAAUUCCGGGUGUAGCGGUGAAAUGCGUAGAUAUCCGGAGGAACACCGGUGGCGAAGGCGGCUUCCUGGACCGACACUGACGCUGAGGCGCGAAAGCUAGGGGAGCAAACGGG
rnacentral:rRNA from 1 species